rnacentral:rRNA from 1 species
CGCCUCUUGCAAAUUAAUGAAUAGGAGGUCCCGCCUGCCCGGUGACUAUAUGUUUAACAGCCGCGGUAUUCUAACCGUGCGAAGGUAGCGUAAUCACUUGUCUUUUAAAUGAGGACCUGUAUGAAUGGCAUAACGAGGGCCUAACUGUCUCCUCUUUUAAGUCAAUGAAAUUGAUCUUCCCGUGCAGAAGCGGGAAUAAUAACAUAAGACGAGAAGACCCUAUGGAGCUUUAGACAAAAGCAGAUUAUGUUUAGAACCCUUAAAUAAGAGGCCGAACUCGAUAUUUACUGCCUCGAUGUCUUUGGUUGGGGUGACCGCGGCGAAAUAAAUAUCCUCCGUGAAGAAAGAGGGUUCCUCCCUUCAAAUCAAGAGCUCCCGCUCAAACGAAUAGAAUAUCUAACUAAACAAGAUCCGGCAAUGCCGAUCAACGGACCGAGUUACCCUAGGGAUAACAGCGCAAUCCCCUUUUAGAGCCCGUAUCAACAAGGGGGUUUACGACCUCGAUGUUGGAUCAGGACAUCCUAGUGGCGCAACCGCUAUUAAGGGUUCGUUUGUUCAACGAUUAAAGUCCU